rnacentral:rRNA from 1 species
GGGACUGAGACACGGCCCAGACUCCUACGGGAGGCAGCAGUGGGGAAUUUUGGACAAUGGGGGAAACCCUGAUCCAGCCAUGCCGCGUGCGGGAAGAAGGCCUUCGGGUUGUAAACCGCUUUUGUCAGGGAAGAAAAGGCGCAGUCUAAUACAUUGCGGCCAUGACGGUACCUGAAGAAUAAGCACCGGCUAACUACGUGCCAGCAGCCGCGGUAAUACGUAGGGUGCGAGCGUUAAUCGGAAUUACUGGGCGUAAAGCGUGCGUAGGCGGUUAUGCAAGACAGAUGUGAAAUCCCCGAGCUCAACUUGGGAACGGCAUUUGUGACUGCAUGGCUUGAGUGCGGCAGAGGGGGGAUGGAAUUCCGCGUGUAGCAGUGAAAUGCGUAGAUAUGCGGAGGAACA